rnacentral:rRNA from 1 species
UAAUACUCCAUAGUUCAUGGAAUCUGGAAUGAUCCAUGGAUGAAAGUUCCGGCGCUUAAGGAUCGGUCUGCGGCCUAUCAGGUCGUAGUGGGUGUAACGUACCUACUAGCCUAUGACGGGUAUGGGCCUUGAGAGAGGGAGCCCAGAGUUGGAUUCUGAGACACGAAUCCAGGCCCUACGGGGCGCAGCAGUCGCGAAAACUUCACAAUGGGGGCAACCCCGAUGAGGGAAUUCCUAAUGCUAGCACAUUUGUGUUAGCUUUUCUUUAGCGUAGAUAACUAGAGGAAUAAGGGCUGGGAAAGACGGGUGCCAGCCGCCGCGGUAAUACCUGCAGCCCAAGUGGUGGUCGAGUUUAUUGAGUCUAAAACGUUCGUAGCCGGUUCGGUAAAUCUUUGGGUAAAUCGGGGGGCUUAACCUUCCGACUUCCGAGGAGACUGCCGAACUUGGGACCGGGAGAGGCUAGAGGUACUUCUGGGGUAGGGGUAAAAUCCUGUAAUCCUAGAAGGACCACCGGUGGCGAAGGCGUCUAGCUAGAACGGAUCCGACGGUGAGGGACGAAGCCCUGGGUCGCAAACGGGAUUAGAUACCCCGGUAGUCCAGGGUGUAAACGCUGCAGACUUGGUGU